CUGCCAUCAAUUAAGCUGACUGUGCUUUUUUCCUCGUGGGAUCCAGUGUGCAGUGGUUGCAAACUGUCUUCUCUUCGGUAGUGUAUGCAGCCUGUUACCUGUAUGGGUUGCCCUAAGGGACCUUGAAGGCAGCU
ensembl:snoRNA SNORA70 Small nucleolar RNA SNORA70